GGGGUUUAGCACAGUUGGUAGAGCGCCUGCUUUGCAUUCAGGUGGUCCGGCGUUUUAGUCUCCUGAGUUC
rnacentral:tRNA from 1 species